GUAGGGAGCAAGCGUUGUUCGGAUUUACUGGGCGUAAAGGGCGCGUAGGCGGCAAAUUAAGUCAGCUGUGAAAUCUCCGAGCUUAACUCGGAACGGUCAGCUGAUACUGAUCUGCUAGAGUGCGGAAGGGGCAAUCGGAAUUCUUGGUGUAGCGGUGAAAUGCGUAGAUAUCAAGAGGAACACCUGAGGUGAAGACGGGUUGCUGGGCCGACACUGACGCUGAGUGCGCGAAAGCCAGGGGAGCAAACGGGAUUAGAUACCCCGGUAGUCCUGGCCUUAAACGAUGAAUACUUGGUGUCUGGAGUCUCUAUAGCUCCGGGUGCCGUCGCUAACGUUUUUAGUAUUCCGCCUGGGGAGUACGCACGCAAGUGUG
rnacentral:rRNA from 1 species